CUGGGACUGCCUCCAGCCUCUGCAACCAUACUCCCGCCACGCUGGGAGGGAUGGCAGCAGAAUAAGAUGCAGAAAAGAGCCGGCAGGGACACGUCGGGAGGGUGCGCUCCCUCCAGCUCCACACCACACUUGUCUGUAGGCUUCUGUGCACACGAGACGCUUCCAGCAGUGACCUGGCCCGAGCCGCCUGCUUCAGAGGUGGGCAGGUUUACCAGGUGACCUGUCUGCUGUCCCCCGUUUGUUAGGGUCACUGUCUGACUCCUUGUACCAUUCUCCACCUGCUGUUUCUGUAACCUGCACGCGCUUCACUUAGCAACUACCUUAAAUGACCGUGAUAAGUGGAGAGCCAGCCUCCCUUGCUUAUAAACAGGAAACACUAAGUGUCCUGAGAACAAAAGGACGCACAGAAGCCCUGCCUUAGACGCCCUCGCCGAGGAAAGGGCGGUCCGCGCCCUCCUGUUACCUUUGCUGGGUGAGGUCCCAGCACCGCCUCGGGCACCACCUGUGGUGCAGGCCCCAAGCUGGGCCAACUUGACGCCCUCUCAGAGCUGCCAGUGCAUUUUCCCCUCCCUCUUUUCCCUGUAACCACAAACACGAAUACAUCCCUCCGGUCAAAAAGCACGUGCUGAAGACCUGCUUUCUCUGCCAGCGCCAGCCCACCGGACGAGAGACCAGCACUGUCUGGGCAGCGGUAACGGGCUGUUUCCAGCAUCCCUCCGCACUGGCCCCGGCAGAUAUGGCGGCGGUUCCUGACAGGACAUCCCCUCUGCCUCACGGAACGCCCUGGGGGGGGGGCAGCGCCCCACGGGCCGGAUCAGGCCCCACCCACAGUGGUAGGAGUGAAACAAGCGCGGCCGCUCAGGCGCGGGGUGCGGAAGCCCACGGGCUGUGAGCACACUCACAGGGACCCAGGACACCCCGUCGAGGCCUCGUCCCACGCCCGUGCCCCUCGUUUCAUCAGGUCCGCCCUGGCUGGGACUCGACCUGCCACUUAAUAAGGCCCACAGGGCAAAAGCUGUUGCUGCACCCCUUUGGCAAACGAGAAAACCGGGGCGGAGGGCUCUGCCCGAGGUCUAGCUCAAGGUCAGCGCCGAGGCCAGCUCUGCUCCUCCCGUCCGUGGUGGGCGUGAGUACGACCUCACCGCUUUUCCCUGUUCCUCUAGAGCUCGUGAAACUGAGUCCUCUGAGGCCACUGGGUACGUGGGCCUGAGCAGCUGAAGUGAGAGAAAGGGGAGAGAGCUGGGAGGAGGGGGAGGCCCGGGGCCAGGCUCUGUCCUGGUCCCCCACCACCGCCCGCAGUCUUCCCAGCGUUUCCUCUCUGUCAAGAAUCAUGACGCCAGUCCUUGCUGGGACACAGCCCCAGGGAGCAGCUAAGCCCCAGUGACAGGGUUGGGCCCUCCUGUCCAGGAGCACCUGCCACCCGAGCCCUUGCCUGGGGCAAACGGAGCUCCGCCUUGGGGGCAGAUGUGCUGAUGGAGGGUGGGCGGGGCCGCUCAGAGGCCAGGCAGCAGACGUCCUGGGGAGCUGUGCACCGCCUUCCUCGUCACACACUUGUGAGUGACUGCAUGACACUUUCCACCUCCGUGUGUUUCGUCUCCUGUGGCUGCUGGAACAUAUGACCACAGACCUGGUGGCUCUGUCCUCAUAGCUCCAGAGGCCAGACGUCAGAGCAAGCAGGCAGGUUGGUCCUCGAUGGAGGCUCGCGGGAGAGUGCUCAGCUCCCCUCCCCAAGAUUUGACUUCCAUCUAAGUCAAAGGGCAGCCAGGCAGAAAGGUCGGAGCUCCGGGGUCAGUGACAUUCCUGGCACCCAGAGUCCCCGAGGGGCAGAGCAGGGGUGGGGUCACCCAGCAGGCCCCCAUGUGUCCCCAGACAAGGUGGCUCAGACUUGACUUGUGUGACCGGAAGCCUCCCACAUGGUCUGCACAGCCCGUGCUCCCUGCCCAGUGGGCCAGGGACGGCUGGGCCUGGGGCACCGGGUGAACCCUGGUCUCCAGGGCAAGUAGGUGCUUCGUGCUCUUGGCCUCUCAGCCUUGGCCACAUAGGUGCCCGGGAGCAUAAAGCAGGUGGCCAAGCCUUGGGCCCCCAGGACUUUGGGGGGUUGGGACAUCAGGGGGGCCCACAAACACAGCCUUUUUCAAAAGCUCUCCAGUUCUUUCAUUGGCAGCCAGGACGGAGAAUCCUGGCUUAGAGCAAAGGUGGGCUCAGGCUAGAAGUGCAGAAGCGGCUGGAAAGUUGGUGCCUGGCCCUGAGAGGGGCCCCUGUGUGGAAGAGGAGAGCAUCCCGCUGGAAGGCGGCUGCAGGCACACGGCCUGGAAUGUCCGAUUUCCCUCCUCCAAGAGGGAAGAGAACUCAUGAUGGUUGAUCUGAUGUGUUGUCUUGGCUGGGCUGGUGGGGGCCCAGGGGGCUGGCGGAACCUUCUCUCUGCGUGUGUCUGGGAGGUGUUUCCAGCAGAGAUGAGCGUUUGAUCUGGUGAACUGAGUAAAGCCGAUUUCCGUCCCCAGUGGGGGGGGGGCAUUAUCCAAGGCAUGGCGGGCCCCAGUGGAGCGAAAGGGAAGGGUGAACUUGCUCUCUGCUUUGGGCUGAGACGCCCACCUACCUGUGCCUGCAGACGUGGGACUCCUGGUUUGAGCCUUCAGACUCAGAUCAGGAUGGGACCCCGUCAGCCCCCGGAUUCGAUCCUCAGGCUGCAGGUUAUACUGAACUCCACCCCAGCUCCCCUGAGUCUGUGCUAGCGGGGGGAGUUGGGGGUGCCAAUCCUGGGACCUGUCCGCCCCCCUGACACGGGAGCCAAUUUCCAUAUCAAACUUCCUCUUGUAUCUCUGCAUGGGGUUCUCCAGAGAAGCAGAACCCGCGGGGCCUGGCACAGAAGUUCUGGGACUUCCUGACCAGGCACAGACCGUUGUCACGGUUCUCAGAGGACAGGGCGUAAGGCAGGCGCCCGCUCUCUCAGCCACGGCCCUCCUUCUUCCUGUCGACUGGGACGUGGUGAAGAUUUCAUGCAGUUGGCAUCGCGGACGCCAUCUCUGCCCGGCAGGGGUGAUACCUCACGGAGGAGGGAGCCCCCCCCGGCCCCCGACACCUAGUGCAGACCUGGUUUAGCGUCUCCUGAACCAGCCUCGCUCCGGGCAUCCACACGCCCUGCGCCCAAGGGGUUUACCGCCUCGUGUAAAUGUAGAAGAGUUUUAUUUGGGGUCCUGAGGAAGGAGACUUGGCCUUGUUCACAAGGAAUUGUAAUACCAGACGCACCUCGGUGAGACUCGCACCGAGAGAGUCAGUCACUCCCGCCAAGAGUGUGCACGACAGCGCAGGUCCGCAGCGUGCCGGGUCUUGUUCUGGAACGCCUCCUGGAGAAGGAGGAUUUGAUGUGAACCUUAAAAGAGGACCUUAAGAGGCCUGUUGGAACAGAUAUAAAAUAGGACGUAAAAGCUCCAGGAGCAAUCCAGUGAAGAUUUGAAACUGCUUUGACCAGAAGUGACAUCAUUCGUCCAGAGUUAAUGUCUUGGAGGACGGGGGGAAGUUUUUACUUCAGUUGAGGUUAGUUUUGGUUUCACCGCAGCCAGUCCAGUAGACGCGUCGGUUCAGUUCUGCUCAAAUGUCAGUGUGUGGUUCGUAUUUCGGACACCGAGCGUUUACCAAAUACCUGAAACCCUUGCAAAAUAUCCCUCUGAGCCAGUUAACCGUCAGGGAACGCAGCAUCGGAGCCGCGGUCUGCACCGAAGUUCAGCGGGGAGCCCGCCCCACCCACAGUUCUUACCCCCUUUGUGUGGGAGGCGUGCGCAGCUUCUCCGUUGCGAAGCAAACCAGCUCUCCUUCCCCAAGAUCAGGCCCAAUAAUGUGCUUUAAAAAAAAAAAAGCUACCAAGAACGUUCAUCCCUGUCAAGUUAUGUUUCAACGUUUAGGUGAAGUGACAACAACUGAAGCUGCCGAGCCACAUGUCAAACGGAACGAAACUAGAAUCUCAGGCUUGGCGAAACUGACUCAAAAGCUGCUAAGAGCAUCUCAUCUGACGUGGCUCUCAUCCUUAAAGUAUCCUCUUAAAAAGUUUUUGGGAAAUACCAGCAAGUUGACCAUUUGCAGAACUAGCCUCGGCCAGUGGAGUUUCAGAGAAGUGGCUUACGGAGAACCAGUUCCCCCGACCUGAACUUCUGGCUCCCUCUCCACUGCCCUCAGGGUCUAGACUGGGGGUGACUGGGCCCCACCCUCCGAGGUUGUCCAGACCGUCUGGAGCCAGCGUGAAGCUGUUUCUCUGUGGCUCCUGCAGGGUCAGCGCAAGGAGACCGUCCGCCCUUGGUCCCCACCUGCCCUCCCACCAGGCCCCCUCCCAGGGUGACUUCCUCGGGGGCUGGGCUGCCCAGGGGUCUCCCUGGAGAAGAGCCGUACAGGUGGGGCGAGGCCCUCGGAGCCCCAAAGUCCAUCCCAGGUCCUCCUCUCAUCCGAGACCCAGAGUGAGUCACUUCCUCUCCCAGACAGCACAGCUCCCCGUCCUGUUCCCGGGACAAUAGAUAAAGAAGUUUCUGCUGGUUUCUUCUUGCCUUGGGGCAACAGCGCAGCAGGGUUAAGCCUCAAAGCUCUCCUCACAAACCCCUGGCAGACCCCCGUCUCCCUGGGCUGCUGGUGGCGUCUCUCCUUCCUUCUGUAAGUUCUAACCUUCCAUGAACUGCAUGCAGUAGAAGACGUCACACUGACAAAACCACGGAGAAUAGAAUAGCGUGCGUGUAGCCACCAGCCAGCCUGGAAAACAGCACAGUGCGGCAUCAGCCGGGGGCCCCCUGCGCCGGCCGGCCCCCCGCCCCAGAGGGAGCGGCCGUCUUGAACGUGGAGUUCACUGUUCUCAGAGCCUGGAGACCUUCAUCUGGGACCAGCUUGGCCCUUAGGAAUCUGCACUUUAGAAACUCAGACUGUGUGACCUGUGUCCCUAAGAGGAUGGGGACUUUCUGGAGGGGGCCACCCCCAUCCCGGGCACAGCCACCCUGCCCCCUUCAGACCACACACCAGAUGGGCAGCAGCCUCUGUCCCCCACCUCCUCAUCUCCACGUCUUACCUCCACCAGGUGCCCCACCUGCCUCCCCAACCCACCCCCUCCUGCCCGCCCUCAGGGUCCGGGAACUUCUGUCUUCUGUCUCCCAGUCCUUAAACCCAGGACCUCCCCUCACCGUGUCCAGCCUCAGGGGACCGCGGCCAGACCCUGAGGAUGGGGCUGGGAUGACCGGGGCAGCUGUGUGGGGUUCCAGGACACUGAGUGACUCACUGAGUGUGUCACCAAAUAGAAAAACUUCAUCGAUGCCGCAGCAAUGCCUCCAUGUCCCGCCUCCCCCUGCACAGGGACGAACCAGGCAGCUCUGUCACCCUCCACCCACGUGCCGGAACAAGGGAGCAGUGCAGGGCCUGGC